UGAAAAGAUCCUGUUACUGGAACAUACUAAAACAUUACAUUAUCUACUAAACAAGACAUUUUCAAAGCUUGAUCCUUUGUCUCUUUUCUCCCGGAUCGAAUGGGCCCCUCUGACAAAACAACUGACCCCAGCAAGGCCCCCUCAAUAAAAUGGGUCUAGAGCCGCCACUGUCCCCAUGACUCCUGACCCUGUGAUGUCACUAGCUAGGACAGAGACUCGUAACGGUUUCUGACAAAAGAAGAAAAUAUUCAUCUGGACGUGAAAACAGACAGAAGAGGUUUGAAGAUGAUGACCCUGUGAUGUCACGAGUCUCUGACCCAGCUAACAAGUAACGGUUUCUGACAAAAGAAGAAAAUAUUCAUCUGGACGUGAAAACAGACAAGAGGUUUGAAGAUGAAGGUAUGGAAGUUGGAUGGCUACAUUUUCUGAUGCUCUAUGGUAAAAAAUUCUGGACUAAACAUUAGUCUUAGCUUCCACCAACUGUGCUAUUAUUGCUAAUUCACUAAAAGUCCUACAUUAGCCUUAGCUGCGGCCAGCAAUGCUACUAUUGCUAACAUGCUAAUUCAGUAACUGUCCUAUAUAAAAAUUCUAUUAUUGCUAACAUGCUAAUUCACCCAAUGUCCUACAUUAGCCUUAGCUGCUGCUAACAAUGCUAUUAUUGCUAAUAUGCUAAUUCAUGAAACGUCCUACAUUAGCCUUAGCUGCUGCUAACAAUGCUAUUAUUGCUAACCGUUAACAACACAACCCCUGUGUUACCAGCUGGUUCCAGUUGAUAGUGUUGGUGUCAAACGGUCGUAUAACAUCACAAAGUUAAUAAUUUUAAUGGUUCAGCUAAUCGAUUAUCUUUCUUACCUCUGAGGAGCUGGGAUCGUCACACCUGCUGUAAUAAAACGUUGGUCCAGUUUGAUGUGAGCCGUCCUCUUCCAGGAGCUGUUCCAGUCUCAGAAGCUCAUCUGCUGUCGGUCAACCAGUGUCUCAGUCCAGAUCAAACUGAACCAGGUUCUGUUGUGGAAGCAUUUUCCUUGGAUGGUUUGGGCUCUCAGACCGUUUACAGAAAGUUCUGGUGUGAACAGUAAACGAAGACGUCUUUUGAUGGGAACGAUACAGAGAAGAUUGGCGGGGUCCCCUGAGCUAACUAAAUAGGAACG